rnacentral:rRNA from 1 species
UACGUAGGGGGCAAGCGUUGUCCGGAAUCAUUGGGCGUAAAGCGCGUGUAGGCGGCCAGAAAAGUCCGCUGUGAAAACUCGAGGCUCAACUUCGAGCUGUCGGUGGAAACUUUCUGGCUAGAGUCCGGAAGAGGAGAAUGGAAUUCCUGGUGUAGCGGUGAAAUGCGCAGAUAUCAGGAAGAACACCCGUGGCGAAGGCGGUUCUCUGGGCAACAACUGACGCUGAGGAGCGAAAGCGUGGGGAGCGAACAGG